ensembl:lncRNA
UCCCCGGGUGCUCAUGCCCCGCGGGGGCUGCCGCGGGCUCUCCUGCAGCCGGCGGUAGACGCUGGCGGAGGUGCGCACGAUGCAGCUCUCGGCCGACUCCCAGGGACCAUCUGCGGGGGGAUGGAGGGCAGGUGGGCUCAGCUGGAGGGUGCCUGAGCAGAAAAUUUGGUGCUCAGCACCUCUCCGAGCCCCCCGAAGCCCCUACAGCAGCUCCAGCCGUGCCCAAGGCCGCUCUCUCCCCUGCCCAGUGACCCCACUCCUGCGGGUCCCUGUAGCUGGGAAUGCGCUCCUACAACCCCCGCGUGUUGUCGCUGCUCCCCAGAAACACGGUCCCGGCCUUCCCCAUCCUCAUCCUCCUCCGCAGCCGCGCUGCUGAGGGGGGCACGGCCCCGACCCUGACCUGGGCAGGGAUUUUGAGCCGUUCCAGCUCGGUGCCGGCAGCCCAGGACACAGCACUGCCGUGGGAUCCUGGAUGGCUGCAGGAACCACAAGCUCCUCGCACGGGAUGGGGGGCAUCGCCAGCCGGGAUGUGCCCCACCACCACCCCGCAGCUCCAGACGGCGCGGGAGCCACCCCACAUCGCCGAGAGCCAGAGCCGAGUGCCGGGCGCGCGUCCCGGAGCUCCCUUUUAUACCCAGCGCAGCCAGGGACGGGCCCUGUAUCCACAGGCACCUCAUUACAGGACCGGUUCCCAACUGGUUCCUCGCAGGCUUUGGGAUCGGCGAUACUGGCUGGGCCAGUGGUUAAGGAUCCCUUCCCACCCCAGCUGGGAAGGCGAGAGGGUUGUUUGGGUGCCGGCUGCAUCCCACCGAAUUACAGAAAAUUCACUCCGGACUCCAGCGUGGGCUGAAUUCACCGGUCGGGGGUCCCAGCACUCCCAAAUUCCUGCCCCUCCUGCAGCCACAGCACUCACCGCGCAUCCCUCGGGGGCUGGAGAGCCGGGAAGCCGCGGCCAAGCCAGGGAUAAUCCGGCCGUUCAGUGGGAUUGAAUCCCAGCAAUGCCGGGGAGCAGCCCCUCCGCCCCGGCAGGAUUGAAUCCCAGGAAUUCCGGGGGGCAGCCCCUCCACCGCAGCUCCGUGGCCGCUGCCAGGAUCCCGGUUCCCACACGCAGACUCAUUCCACAGACUCCAGGACUCCUCGUGCCAAGGGGCUGCUUCCCCCGGCACCACGGGGGUGUCACCGGAGCUCCACCGGCGCGGGGGCCACGGGCAAGGCGAGAAGGGGCGUGAGGGGUCACCAUCAGCCCCUUCUUGGGGUGCCCCCCGCCCUGGCAGCUCCAGCUCAGCCCCCGGUACCUCCCGGAUGCUGCUGGAGGGGGUCCCGGCACAGCCAGAGCUGCGGCACACGUGGAGAUGGGCCCUAGGUUUUGGGGACCCCCACGCUGUAUUUUGGGGACCGGCACCGGCCCGUCAACCCAAGCAUGGCAAGGGCAAACCUGAAUUCCCAGGGCAGCCUGGACCCCUCCUUGCAGGGAGUGGGAGGAAAAGUAGGGGUCCAGGGACCCUCUUUAGCUCAAAUUGGGGGUGCCAGGGAGCUCCCAGGUUCCUUCUCAAGCACAAACAACGCAAAUUGGGGCUCCAAGGACCCCAGGUUCCCUCUCCAGCACAGACACCUCAAAACAGAGAUCGCCGAGGAUCCCCUCCAGCACGAUCCUCGCAGGUUGGAGACCCCCGAGGGAUCCCCUACAGCCCCAGGGGCCACCGACUCACCGAGGUCAACACGGAGCGGCCGCACCGUGAAGGCUCCGCGGCGGCGCAGCAUCCUCGGGAUGCACCGAGAGCCGGGCAGGGAACACUGGGAGCCGGGCUGGGAGCUCAGGGGCUGCUCCUCCG